GUCCAUUCUCAAGCCCGAUCACCCAGAUGGAACAGAGAAAUCUGUUACCGGCCUCUGAACAUCAACAGCGCAUAAUUAGCAGCUGCUAAAAUAAUGGAAGUCAAUUGAACAAAAAUGUGGCGCGUUCUGCCUUCAUUUAUUAAAUACCUUAUGUUUCCAAACACUGUGCUCCACAGCGGCUGAAGAGCCUUGGAGGGGCAUCGCAGCAAGUAUCCCUCCCUGGGCACCAGACACAGAGAACCGACUGACUUUUGUGAUGAACUUUCCAAAGAGCUGUUGCUACAGCCGACCAACCGGCAAGCCGGCCGAGGGACCCGACUACUUCCCCUGGGCCCGACGACAGAAUAGAUUUGUCGCAAGCAAACUGUAAGUGGGCUGCCAUCAUCAAAGAAAUCAGCAGCCCGUCUCCCUGGGAGACUGCAACCCCCCACAUUUAUCUAAAUUAUCUCGGUAAUAUGACAGAGUGAUUGCUCACUAAUGGUCAAUAACAGUUUUCUUUGUCAUUUUCCUAGUCAUUACCUCCUGAGAAUGAACUCCCGAGUACACUGCUUGCAGCCCGUGACUGGAAUGUUAAUUUCGUCCUGCGUCCCCGGCUGGCUCCCUUCAACGGUACUGGGCUCUCGCAUUUCUGACAUUUUUCGUUUUGUAAAAAUGAAUACCUGCCUUAGAAAGCCUGAUGAACGCAGAGAUACUUUACAUGCAAACACACACACACACACACACACACACACACACACACACACACACAAAUGCUGUUCCCAUUUCCCCCUGUCUUUCAUCUGACAAAGCGGGUAGUGACUGCGAGCUCAGAAUUGGCUGGCGGAGGUGUCUGCUGGUGUGUGGGCUCCAUUUCUGGGGCUUUAUCAAGCCCUGUCUCCGAUUUUCCCAUUUCAGACAAUCUUCCUUUGAAGACGUGGAUGACAUAGUAAAACCGAUUGCACUUGAGAGCCGAUUCCAUGACUAUUUUGCUGCAACAGCUCAACAGCCUUUUGUUCCAGAGCGUGUUACGGUUUCACAGAGGAGAGGGAGACUCGAGGCUGCAUGACUUGGUAUCACCUUGGAGAGGAUGAAUUUGUUUGAACGAGACUUGCAGGUGUUCUCUUGGAAAACUUCAAAACUCAACAGGGCUGCGAGACAGGAGUAAGUAAAACCAGCUUGCUGGAGAAGGGUGUACAUAACGGCCUUAGUGAAGCAUUCAAGGCCACAAAGCUAGGCCCCUCCUAAGUAGGCAGACAGCAGAAAUUGUACCGCAAAGAUUCUCACUUCACUGAGAAAACCCCCGAUGUUUCCAGGAACUGGUCCUGCUUUCAAGAAGCAAUGAGGGGGGAUCCCUGGGUGGCUCAGCAGUUUAGCGCCACCUUCGGCACAGGGCGAGAUCCUGGAGUCCCAGGAUCGAGUCCCACAUCAGGUUCCCUGCAUGGAGCCUGCUUCUUCCUCUGCCUGUGUCUCUGCUUCUCUCUCUCUCUCUCUCUCUCUCUCUCUGUGUCUCUCAUGAGUAACUAAAUAAAUUCUUUUUUUUAAAAAAAAAGACGCAAUGAGGAGGAACCUCAGCAACAGCAAUGGGAGGUUGGGGUUGUUACAUAACAAAAAUGCAGCCAAGUAAAUUUUAAAGAUCUAACUGGCUUUACUAAUUGAGUCAUGAAUCAAGCAGCAUCCUUUCCAGCAGGCGGCGCCGAACUCCAAAGAGCUAAAGAAAAGGAAAGGUAUUUAUUUAUUUAUUUAUUUAUUUAUUUAUUUAUUUAUCUAAAGAUUUUAUUUAUUUCUUUUGAGAGCAAGAGCGAGAGAGAGCACAACUGGACAGAGAGGCAGGGGGAGAGGUAGAAGCAGACUCCCCGCUGAGCAGAGGGAGUGACCCUCCUGGAUCUCAGGACCCUGGGAUCAUGACCUGAGCCAAAAUCAGAUGAUUAACCCAUCUCAGCCACCCAGGCGCCCUUAAAAGAGGCAUUCUUGUCAUAUGUGAAACCACACAUGAAUUCACAUGGUUGAAGUUUACAAGACUUUGGAAUCGAAUCCACAGAUCGGAGAUGAAUGCUCAUUAACAAUCGCUUCCUUGACACAUAGAGAUGGAAAAAUAUUCCAUGCUCAUGGAUUGCAGAUUAAUAUUGUGAAAAUGUCAAUGUUACCAGGGCAAUAUACACGUUUAAUGCAAUCCCUAUCAAAAUACCAUGGACUUUCUUCAGAGAGUUAGAACAAAUUAUUUUAAGAUUUGUGUGGAAUCAGAAAAGACCCCGAAUAGCCAGGGGAAUUUUAAAAAAGAAAA
rnacentral:lncRNA from 1 species